rnacentral:rRNA from 1 species
UACGUAGGGGGCAAGCGUUGUCCGGAUUUAUUGGGCGUAAAGAGCGUGUAGGCGGCCAGACAGGUCCGUUGUGAAAACUCGAGGCUCAACCUCGAGACGCCGAUGGAAACCGUCUGGCUAGAGUCCGGAAGAGGAGAGUGGAAUUCCUGGUGUAGCGGUGAAAUGCGCAGAUAUCAGGAAGAACACCGUGGCUAAGGCGGCUCUCUAGUACGGUACUGACGCUGAGGAGCGAAAGCGUGGGGAGCGAACAGG